GGCAAAUGUAUUUUUGUGUAUUUUAUUUUGAGGGGAAACUACUCCCAAAAGUUGUAUCAUGAUAGAACAUAAUUUUAGAAAUUUUCUGGAUUUUAUUUAGACCAAUUUGGAGUUCAAAAUCAAAAGUUAUCAAAGAAAUGAGAAAAAGGGAAAAAGAAAAGAAAAAAAAAGGUAAACCGGACCGGUCCGACCGCUUGGGCCGAACCGGCCCAGAACCGACUGCGCCCGACCGCACGUGCGCUGGCCCAGCCAGACCGGCCCGCCCGCACACGCGCCUGCUGCCAC
rnacentral:lncRNA from 1 species